rnacentral:sRNA from 1 species
GCUGGGUGUGGUGGCACAAGCCUGUAAUCCCAGCGGCUCUGGAGGCUGAGACAGGAGGAUCGCUAGUUCAAAGCCAGCCUCAGCAAAAGCAAGGCACUAAGCAACUCAGUGAGACCCGGUCUCUA